AGUGAACGCUGGCGGCAGGCCUAAUACAUGCAAGUCGAACGGCAGCACAGCAGAGCUUGCUCUGUGGGUGGCGAGUGGCGGACGGGUGAGGAAUACAUGGGAAUCUGCCCAGUCGUGGGGGAUAACGUAUGGAAACGUACGCUAAUACCGCAUGCGCCCUUUGGGGGAAAGCCGGGGACCUUCGGGCCUGGCGCGAUUGGAUGAGCCCAUGUUCGAUUAGCUAGUUGGCGGGGUAAAGGCCCACCAAGGCGACGAUCGAUAGCUGGUCUGAGAGGAUGAUCAGCCACACUGGAACUGAGACACGGCCCAGACUCCUACGGGAGGCAGCAGUAGGGAAUAUUGGACAAUGGGCGCAAGCCUGAUCCAGCCAUGCCGCGUGAGUGAAGAAGGCCCUCGGGUUGUAAAGCUCUUUUGUCCGGAAAGAAAAGCAUUCGGUUAAUACCCGGGUGUUCUGACGGUACCGGAAGAAUAAGCACCGGCUAACUUCGUG
rnacentral:rRNA from 1 species